rnacentral:rRNA from 1 species
UACGUAGGGGGCAAGCGUUGUCCGGAAUCAUUGGGCGUAAAGCGCGUGUAGGCGGCCCGGUAAGUCCGCUGUAAAAGUCCAGGGCUCAACCCUGGAAGGCCGGUGGAUACUGCCGGGCUGGAGUCCGGAAGAGGCGAGUGGAAUUCCUGGUGUAGCGGUGAAAUGCGCAGAUAUCAGGAGGAACACCAAUGGCGAAGGCAGCUCGCUGGGACGGUACUGACACUGAGACGCGAAAACGUGGGGAGCAAACAGG